rnacentral:rRNA from 1 species
GGAUACCGCUUUCACGUUGGAAAAACGGAAAGCUGGAAACGGUCCGCCGCCGGAGGACGUGACUGCGGCCGAUUAGGUAGACGGUGGGGUAACGGCCCACCGUGCCAAUAAUCGGUACGGGUUGUGAGAGCAAGAGCCCGGAGACGGAAUCUGAGACAAGAUUCCGGGCCCUACGGGGCGCAGCAGCCGCGAAACCUUUACACUGCACGACAGUGCGAUAAGGGGAUCCCGAGUGCGAGGGCAUACAGUCCUCGCUUUUCGUGACCGUAAGGUGGUCACAGAAUAAGGGCUGGGCAAGACCGGUGCCAGCCGCCGCGGUAAUACCGGCAGCCCGAGUGAUAGCCAAUUUUAUUGGGCCUAAAGCGUCCGUAGCCGGCCGAACGGGUCCGUCGGGAAAUCCACCCGCUUAACGGGUGGGCGUCCGGCGGAAACCAGUCGGCUUGGGGCCGGGAGACCAGAGGGGUACGUCCGGGGUAGGAGUGAAAUCCUGUAAUCCUGGACGGACCACCGGUUGCGAAAGCGCCUCUGGAGAACGGACCCGACGGUGAGGGACGAAAGCUAGGGUCUCGAACCGGAUUAGAUACCCGGGUAGUCCUAGCCGUAAACGAUGCUCGCUAGGUGUGACGCAGGCUACGAGCCUGCGUUGCGCCGUAGGGAAGCCGAGAAGCGAGCCGCCUGGGAAGUACGUCCGCAAGGAUGAAACUUAAAGGAAUUGGCGGGGGAGCACUACAACCGGAGGAGCCUGCGGUUUAAUUGGACUCAACGCCGGACAUCUCACCGGCACCGACAACGUGCAGUGACGGUCAGUUUGAUGAGCUUACCUGAGCCGUUGAGAGGAGGUGCAUGGCCGCCGUCAGCUCGUACCGUGAGGCGUCCUGUUAAGUCAGGCAACGAGCGAGACCCGCGUCCAUAAUUGCCAGCAGCACCCUUGUGGUGGCUGGGUACAUUAUGGAGACUGCCGUCGCUAAGACGGAGGAAGGAACGGGCAACGGUAGGUCAGUAUGCCCCGAAUGUGCCGGGCGACACGCGGGCUACAAUGGCCAGGACAGUGGGACGCUACCCCGAGAGGGGACGCUAAUCUCCUAACCCUGGUCGUAGUUCGGAUUGCGGAUUGA